AUCAUAGUCAAAUUAAUGACUUCUUCAUCAUCCGUGAAAAACGUAGCCCAUACCUUUCUGACUGAGAAAGUGAAUAUGAGAGCCAUGAGCCCGAGGGCGAUGCUGAGACCAAGUCCGACAAAGGUGGCUCUUCUCGCUCUCUGUGGCUGGUUCGAACCCAGCUCGUUUCCUACACGAGUCGAGACUGCGGAGCCCAAUGAAUGAGGGAAAAUAUAAACAAGGGAAGUGAUUUGGAUGAUUAUACCCAUUGAAGAAACAGAUACUUUAGGGUUUAUAAGUAACCCACAAAGCACAAUCAUGAUCUCGUAGCACCACCACUCGAGACAAACUGCAACACAACUGGGUACCGCGAGACCAAGCAGCUUCUUCCAUUCUCUCACACUCUGUUCAUACGACUCCUCUGAGACCUUCUCAUCUUUACUUAGCUUUUCUUCGAAGAAAGCUAUGUAGAUGAAGAGAAAUACGACAAGGUUGAAAUUUGACAGAGCACCACUCAAAGCAAUACCUUUGAUCUCAAAACCGAGGUAUGACACUAGGAGGAAUGUAACCGGAAAGUGGAGAACACUCGCAAUCCCUGUGCAUACGGAUAAAGGUAUAGUCUUUGACUGUGUCCUGAAAUAAGCUCUUAAUGGGUGUAAGAAAGAUUGAGCAAGGAGAUCUGGAACAGAGUAAAGCAGAAAGGUGUGAGCUAUGGAUGCGAGCUCCUCGUCCUGUUUUAACAAUUUCAGAAUCCUCUUGAUGUUUAUCCAUAGAAGAAAAACAGGGAGAGUUGUGACGCAAGCCACCCGAUCCUAUUCAAAGUAAAAGCUUGUUUCUUUGCACGAGUAGUAACUAUGAUACGAGAGUACUUGGUGGUGAUUAUACUUAUGUUAGCUGCAAGAUACAUGAAAAAGUGGAGGUGAGUCAUGCAUUUGACAUGACGUCUUGUGAUUGUUUCGGUUACUUGCGAGUUGAGUCAGAACAUCAGAAGAUGGCUACGGUUCAGCCGGUGCUGUGAGCUGUUGGAGCAUAAAGAGAUUACACAUGAUUUAUCAAGAUCACAAUGCAUGGGAGACGGUGUCUCACUAAUUAUUCUGUCAGUGUUUGUGCAAUCUUCUGCCAAACUUGCAAUUAAAUAUGAAAGUCAUAUUAUUAUUAUUAUUAUUAUUAUUAUUAUUAUUAUUAUUAUUAUUUUAAAGAAGACGGUCAUAUUAAAAGAGCAAUUAUCUAUCACUCUUAAAGACUCACUCCUCUCUAAUCACCAACCUUCCAACCUCCAUAUCUUCCACAUUGCUGAAGCUUAUGACGCCAUCCGUCGUUUUUGGCUCCCUAGCCCUUUCCGUCGCUGUUAGCUCCCUAGCCCUUUCCGCCUCCAAUGGCCAAUUAAUCCUACACAUCGACACCAUCAUACCAAUCAUACAUGAUAUCUGCGCCACGAGCAUCCCAAGCCAAAGUCCCAUGAAUCCAAACCCAAACCAAAAAGUUAAAACCAUUCCUACAGGCAAACCAAUCACAUAAAAUGCCGCUAUAUUGAUAUUAGCUCCCGUCAUCGGCCUCGCCGACCCUCUGAGAACGCCGCAUCCAGUAGUCUGAGGGCAGUUUCCCAGCUCGCAAAGGCCAACGACUGGUAGAACCAUCAUAGUCAAAUUAAUGACUUCUUCAUCAUCCGUGAAAAACGUAGCCCAUACCUUUCUGACUGAGAAAGUGAAUAUGAGAGCCAUGAGCCCGAGGGCGAUGCUGAGACCAAGUCCGACAAAGGUGGCUCUUCUCGCUCUCUGUGGCUGGUUCGAACCCAGCUCGUUUCCUACACGAGUCGAGACUGCGGAGCCCAAUGAAUGAGGGAAAAUAUAAACAAGGGAAGUGAUUUGGAUGAGAAUACCCAU
rnacentral:lncRNA from 1 species